rnacentral:lncRNA from 1 species
AUGUCAUGCAGGGGAGUUAAAAGUCCUCAGAACAGUGAAGAAUUACAGAAACAUUCCAGGCCUCAACUGGGAGGAGACGAUCCCAUUCCAAGCCUGAGGAAGGGGCAUUGCCAAAUCUCCCACGUCAGCUGGUCAAUAGAGCAAGUGAAUGCGUGUGCUGCUUUCAUUGUUCUGUCUGCAGCAAGGAAAGAAGGGAAAUUCCUCCAUGUACAAACUCCAAUGGCAAUCCUGCGUCUUUACUUCUGCCUUACAGGACUCCUUUGUCUCCUGCACUCCUGGUCUUCACAAGAAGAGGUCCCAACUCUUUCUGGGUGUACUGCUCUACUGCAGCUCUUCUGAAGUAGUGUUGGAUGUUUACUGCAGCAAGUCAUGGCUGCUGAAGAUGGGCACCUUUACAUUUAAGAAUGUGAUGUUCUGUUAGAAUUAUUUAGUAGUAUGUGCCUUUGUAACCAGGUUCUGUGGGUGGUACCUGUUGAAAUAAAUUGCCUGAAGAGUUUUAUUAAGAGAAAACA